rnacentral:rRNA from 1 species
UCCGUAGGGUGCAAGCGUUAAUCAGAGUUACUGGGCGUAAAGAGUGCGUAGGCGGCUAUGUCAGACAGAUGUGAAAUCCCUGGGCUUAACCUAGGAACUGCAUUUGUGACUGCAUGGCUAGAGUGUGGUAGAGGGAGAUGGAAUUCCGCAUGUAGCAGUGAAAUGCGUAGAUAUGCGGAGGAACACCAAUGGCGAAGGCAAUCUCCUGGACCUGCACUGACGCUCAUGCACGAAAGCGUGGGGAGCAAACAGG